rnacentral:lncRNA from 1 species
GUGUCCUAAGUACAUGUUUGCCCCAUCUGCACAAUAAUUUUCUAUAUUCGGUGGACGGUGAAAAUGGUGUAAAAAAAACUCUUAAUUUUGCAUUAAAAUUAGAAAGAUCAUAUCAUAGGGAACAUUUGUACUAAGUUUCAAGUUGAUUUGACUUCAUCUUCAUUAAAAACUACCUUGACCAAAACCUUCACCUGAAGUGAGACAGACUGACAAACUGACAAACGAAGAAAC